GCUGAGACGAACAAUAAAUCUGUUCCAAUAACACAAAGGUCUGGUCCUGGCCUUAUUAUCAAUUAUAGCUAAACUUACACAUGCGAGUCUCCUCGUUCCCGUGAAAACGCCCUUUCUCUCCUAAUAAAAGAGGGAGGAGCCGGUAUCAGGCUCAAUACGCCCAUGACACCUAGCCCCGCCACACCCCCAAGGGUAUUCAGCAGUGAUCAACAUUGUAAACUAGCGUAAGCUAAAUUCAGUUACUAGCUAAAAAAACCGGUCAAUCUCGUGCCAGCCACCGCGGUUAUACGGGCAGGUUUAAAUUGAUAAAAUCGGCACAAAGCGUGGUUAAAUUUUCACCCAAAUAAAGCAAAAACUAAGCCUAGCUGUGAUAUGCUUUCGCUUUUAAUAACCUCAACCACGAAAGUAGCUUUAACUCUUAUUGAACCCACGAUCGCUAGGGCACAAACUGGGAUUAGAUACCCCAUUAUGCCUAGCCCUAAACUUUGACUAUCUCCGCCUGGGAACUACGAGCGUCAGCUUAAAACCCAAAAGACUUGGCGGUGCCCUAUACCACCUAGAGGAGCCUGUUC
rnacentral:rRNA from 1 species